rnacentral:tRNA from 11 species
GACUUAAAAUCCGUUGACUUUAGAAAUCGUGAGG